UACAUAUAUUGGUCGUAAACGCGUCCGCUUAUUAAACUUCUGUAUUAUGGUAUACAUACAAGUCGUAAUGAAUUUCAACGAUUGACAAAGAGACUGGAGAAUCUUUGAUAUCCGACUUAUGUGAAAAUUGAAGACAUGUAUUCUAACAAUUUCAUGGCUUAUAUUAAACAUAACCUUUAAAAAUGAUCGAAAUUAAUAGUUCCGAAUUUUUUCGAUUUUCAAUAUUCAAAGGUUAAUAGAUCAUGAUAUUCUCUUAUCUCAAAGGACUGCAACGAUGCUGUUGUAGUCUCGUAAAAACUACCCAAGGGAAAGAGAGCUAGCAAUCACCGAGAGCAUCGUUCGAAUCCCACUUGGGACUGGUAACAAUCAAGCAGCAAUUCCGUUGAAAAAGACAAUAGGCAUUUAGCCAAACAAAAAGAAAUCGUGUGACGAGAAUUCGUUAAAAAUUCAUGUAAUGUAUCAAUAUAUAAGAAUAAGCAUUUUAUAAGAAGCAUAAAGUGUUUUCGCAUUAAUGCGAAAUAUUAUUUGUCUAUAGAACGAAACGAUUUUCAUUUAUAUAUUUCCUAAUUUGUUUAAUAAAGAAUAAUCUUUUCGUUGUGUAUCUCAAAGUGUCGCUGUGAUAAAAUUAAUAGUACGAAGAAUUUAAAAAAGAAGAGAAAGAAACUAAAAAAAAUUAAAUGUAUUUAAUAUUUUCGCGGCAAAAAAAAGUAACAAUAUUAUCAAAAUCGAUUCAGAGGUCGCGUUGCUGGUUACGUUUUAGCUAUUUGCGUUAAAAAGACCAGAACGUGAAAUGAGAAUCAAUAAUCGAAAGAAGGAUGAAUACGGAUGCGGUGGCAACGUGAUGUAGCCACGUGACUUAGGUUUACCCCGGUGAGAGAAUUUAAGGACGUAUAUUGAAAUAACGAAUGUACAGAUGAAUACGCGUACUUAUAUACAUUGUUUGCGUCGAAACGAAUAAUCUCUGUGCCUUACUGCGGGUUUAGCGAAUGUUUGCAAUAAGGAUGAAGUUUCUAAACAUGGUCGUCCUAUUUUCUUGAAAUCAUUCGUACCUGAAUACUGACCGAACUUUAACUGGCUUCGAUUUGAAAGGACCCGUGUUCCCUUAGGACGUAGAAGAAGAAAAAGAAACUGAAAAGAACGACAAGACGUUACCGGUGAAGAUCUAUGGUAUCGAGACAAUAUUAAACCGAACAAGAUAACACUCUUGGAAAAGGUUCUUGGAUAUAUAUAAGCUGUUAUCAAUCAAGCUGGAUCCUGUAGUAACAAAAUCGAUUUAUUUCUUUUCGCUCUGAAAAUUUCACACAGCUAUGUUAGAAGACUAUAAAUAUUCAGACUAUAUUCAGAUUCAAAAAUCACUAUGUUUUUUUAGAACAUGGAGAAUUCGAAUAACUAAGAAAUUUUUCAAUUAAAUAUCUUGUUGAGAUAUUUUUGAAAAUGAUUAAAAAUUAAAAAAGAGAGGGAAAAAACUUUAUUUUGAAGACAGACAUAAAUUAUUCAAACAAUUUACUUAAACGUGUUAGAAACAAGUAUGAAUAUUGAAAUAAAGAUGAAGAGUUCUUACUACAUAUUUCAUCACCUCAUCAUAUACUAUAAUGUAAUGUUUUCCCAGUCAGGUAUCUAAGUAUCUAUUUAGAUUAAGUGAAGUAUUAUAGUUAUGCUCAGGCACGUGUGUGUAUACAUGUUGAUCGGUCAUUAUCAAUUACAUCUUUAAGGCUUAACGAAAUUCGAGUCAAUUACUAAGAUAACUAUAUAAAAUGAUUAUCGAAAUCGGAUACUAGAACGAAACGAAAAAAAUACAACUUUGAAGAAAAUGAAUACUACAAAUGAUUGGAAUGUUCAAGGUAUCGAAGGAAAGUGAAAUUUUCUUGAAGAAAAAUAGAAAGUUUUAUCGAUAAGUUUUUUUUUAUGACCUUAAAUGUCCUCGAAGAACACUCGUCGAAAUAAAAUAAGGACAGAAUGCAUCUAAACGUACUGUAUAUAGUUCGUAUCAGUCGAUAUUUUACAACAGGACCUGGAAUCGAUUUGGUAACUUCUAGACACGUGGCACCGCCAUUACGAUCGAUAUUACAAGAAUAUUUCGUCGAAAGUAUAUUCGCAAACUAUUUACCUAUACUACAACUGAAUUUCAUCAUUCGAUUUACAAAACAAUGGUCAAUAUCCAAACAGGAGAAGGAAAUUCGCGAGAGAGUCGAACAUGUAUAAUAUUGGAGGAAGAGAAAAUGGAAGAAAAUUCUAUAAAUAGGUUCUAUAUAUAUAUUCUAUAAACAGUUCAUGCAGUAGUUCAUAAUAUCGAAGAUAGAUCAGAUAGCAUGCAUUUUCGACAAUUUUCGAUUUAAUUUUCGAUAUAUUUUUUUUUUUUUUUGCCGAAACGAAAGAAUAUUUGGAAUAUUGACAGAAACUGAAUAGUGAAAAAGAAAAAUGAAGAAGAGAAAAGUAUGGAAGAAAGUUGAUUUUUUCGUAAUAGAGGUAUCAAGGCUUUAAUCCUCUUAUUUAGACAUGGUAUGGAAAAAGGAUACUUGUAUCUGAAAGUGUGAAAGUAGAAGCGAAUACUCUUUGAAAUAUCGCGUGAAGGAACAUAAUGUGGAAAAAUUGCGGUAAGUAUGUGAGAAAAAAAGAUUCGUAAAAGUAAAUUGAAUACUAUGAUACUACCUUCCAAUUUUAUCUGAGGGUAUGCUAUGUAGGUCAGGAUGGUUGUUUUCUUCGAGGAUUUUCCCAAUGCACGAUUUUUACCUUCUUGCACUUGUCGUAAUAUCAUCGAAUAAUAAGAAAGAUAGACUAUUGUGUAGAAAUCUGUUUUUCCCUUUCUUAGAGAUUGAUUUUUUAUUGUUUCUUUUGGUGUAAACAUUAUUCUCUUUUAAGUUUGCUUGAAAUUUCUCCUACAAACGUUGCGAGAUUUUUCUAUGCUUCGGAAGAAAAGCAAGAAGAUAAAGAAAUGGAAAUCGGGAUAGAAAAUAAGAUAAAAAGAUCGAAUGGAAAGGAUAAGAAAUUUAAAAGAUUUUGUGCGAUUGAAAGGAUGUUUCGCUUAAGUUUCCACGAAAUCUUGACACGGAAAGAAACUGUACAGCACAAUUCUCGAGCACUCGUAACGUUAAAGUAGAGAGUAGAAUAAUAGGUACUUGAAACAGUUACGAAAUGGCAGCUCAGCUAGAUCUCGCACGCGAAUUUUUUCUCGAAUGAAAACUAUUUUGAUGUUAUUUUUAUAUAAACUCUAUACGAUUAGAGAAAAUGAACAAAGGAUAAGAGAUGCAAUUUUGCAAUGAUAAUGAUAAAAUACUUUUUUUUAAAGAUUGUAAAGAUGA